UGGGGAAUAUUGCACAAUGGGGGAAACCCUGAUGCAGCGACGCCGCGUGAGCGAAGAAGGUUUUCGAAUCGUAAAGCUCUGUCCUAUGGGAAGAUAAUGACGGUACCAUAGGAGGAAGCCCCGGCUAACUACGUGCCAGCAGCCGCGGUAAUACGUAGGGGGCAAGCGUUGUCCGGAAUCACUGGGCGUAAAGGGUUCGCAGGCGGAAAUGCAAGUCAGUUGUGAAAGGCAGAGGCUCAACCUCUGUAAGCAAUUGAAACUGUAUUUCUUGAGAUGGGGAGAAGAAAGUGGAAUGCCUAGUGUAGCGGUGAAAUGCGUAGAUAUUAGGAAGAAUACCGGUGGCAAAGGCGACUUGCUGGACACAAACUGACACUGAGGAACGAAAGCGUGGGUAGCAAACAGG
rnacentral:rRNA from 1 species